ACUGUUUUGGGACUUUUAGGGUUGAAAAUUUGUGACGCUUUGGAACCCAGAGUUCUCUUCUUCCUCUUUACGCUACGGCCAACAAGAUCUUUAUCACUCGGAAGUUCACGAUGUUGCGGUCGUUCAUCACCGUCAAUCUUCCCACCUUCUUCGGUACGAUUCAGUUCUCAGAUUCGCUCAAUCUUUCUCUCUUCUUCAACUAGGAUUUCAUCUUCGCGUUUCAGCUUCACGCCUCUCAGCUUCGAUUUUAAUGCAUCUCAACUUUUGGAUUUCGAAGCCGCGAAUCAAUCCUUCUCCGCUUAUUUUUGA